GACGAACGCUGGCGGCGUGCUUAACAUAUGCAAGUCGAACGGAAAGGCCCUGCUUUUGUGGGGUGCUCGAGUGGCGAACGGGUGAGUAACACGUGAGUAACCUGCCCUUGACUUUGGGAUAACUUCAGGAAACUGGGGCUAAUACCGGAUAGGAGCUCCUGCUGCAUGGUGGGGGUUGGAAAGUUUCGGCGGUUGGGGAUGGACCCGCGGCUUAUCAGCUUGUUGGUGGGGUAGUGGCUUACCAAGGCUUUGACGGGUAGCCGGCCUGAGAGGGUGACCGGCCACAUUGGGACUGAGAUACGGCCCAGACUCCUACGGGAGGCAGCAGUGGGGAAUAUUGCACAAUGGGCGGAAGCCUGAUGCAGCAACGCCGCGUGCGGGAUGACGGCCUUCGGGUUGUAAACCGCUUUCGCCUGUGACGAAGCGUGAGUGACGGUAAUGGGUAAAGAAGCACCGGCUAACUACGUG
rnacentral:rRNA from 1 species